AGGAAUCAGUGAAGCCUCUGAAACUGCACAGGAUUCAAGGAAACAGAGGAUUCAGUUCAGAUACCCAAGCUGUGACCCAUCUGCCUUCUCUGCUUUUCCUUCAAGUGAUGGGAAGGAGGAAGAAAGAGAGGACCCAUCUAACAAGUGCCAUGGGUUAUACUAAUGUGAUCCCACAGACUGCAGGAACAGCACGGGAGUGGGAACAGCGCAGCUUGUGGUUAGAUAGGCCUCUGUGGAAAGUGUCUCUGUUGCAAUGCAUGCUGUGCUAUUCCUGGCUGGUGCUGCAGCUAUAAAGGAUAGAUAUACAACACGUGCAAGUACCAUGAACACUCGCAAAGCCCUGAAGGGAAUGGACGUCCCAAUCAUGCUGGGUAGCUUGAGUCUCACAUCAUCAUACGCCUGCCCUAUUACAUCAGAUGGCCCCUAUAAGUAACACUAGUACUAACUGGGCUUUUGUAGCAUAGCUUGCCACCAAGCUGUUUCAGUAAAAUUAUAACCUUGGCUACAAGUUUGUUGAGCUCUUAUUCCCAUUAUCUGUUUGUCUGUCCAUCUCUGCAGACAGCAGGACAGACAGAUUCUAUAUAUGGAAAGCAGGGAAGGCAAUAAACACAUAAGAAAGAAGUGAUGGCAAAGGUGUGCAGGUGUACCAGAUUCCCUCAGACCUACGUAUGAGGGGAAAGACAAUACUAAAAGCCUGGUGCCUUCAUGCCCUCCAGGGAGCAGUAUAGAGGAUUCCUGCCUAAGCCCAUUUCCUGAACCAUCUUGCUGCGUUCACAGACUGCAUUGUGUUCAUUUGUGUAAUGGUUGGUGAAUGAGUUCUGCCCCAGUGCAGUUACCCAGGAUACCCUCAUAACCCAAUCAGUUUCCUCUCUGUUUAGUGCUUGGUUUAUAUGCAUGCACUAUAUUUAAGAUCCACUCACCCAUCCAUCCACUUAUAUUCUCACGAUUAGCCCAUCACAAUGGCUACUGAUAGCAAACGGCACACCCUGGGCCUAAAACUCCCAGCUCACUGGCAACAAAGUAGAGAACUCUGAGGUCAUCAAGCUGACCUGUGAUGUAACACAUGGAAGGCCAAGCCCCAAAAGGUGACUUUUAUGUACCCGGCACCUGCAGAUCUUAAUACAAAACCAAACAAAGAAAGAGAGCAAGGGGGAGAGGAAGAGAGAUGGGGAGAGAGAGAUGACAGAGUUUAGACUGCUGCUGGCAACCAAAAGAAAACCAGUUCAUCAGACACAAAGGAGGACCAAAUCCUGGGACUGAUGCUAACAAGGCUAAGAUCCUGCCACCAUUUUGAAAGACAUCACUCAUCCUUGAAAGCACCUCCACCCAGUCGCAGUCUUUCAGGGCUCCCAUGUGAUCAGCGAUACCAGCAAAUGCAUGAAAGUCAUUCACAGAUAAUACGAAGAACAUGCUUACAUUCUUGAAUGUUCUAUGCCUGAUCCAUGCACAUUCGCCACUCUGAGGUAUGAUUAUCCAUUCCUUGCACGACAAGAUUCCUCUCCAGUGCUGCUCUUAUCAAUCCGUCUCAGCCAGAUGUCUCCUAGCCAUCCAGCACUCUCAGCCACACCGCAAGUCAAGUCUUGUCCAGCCCUACCCCUCUCUAUUCUUCAGUCCCAGUCAUGUGCAGAAGAGGUUGGUUAGCAGGUGGAGUAGCAGAAACCGGAGGAAGACAGCAACAAAAACAUUCACUGAAAUAAGCUAGCAAGGUCUGUGGGUUUCCUCCAUCGCUACCUGGCCAGAACUUGCAGCACCCACUGCCACUCAGGAUCCUGGGGGAGGAUGACGAGUGGGGAAGAGUAACCUGCCACACCUUUAACAACGACAGCACUGCACAUUUUCACAUCGGUUUUAACCCUUGGUGUGUGACUAGACCCUGUGUGCUUGUGUAAUACAAAUUAAUAAUUAAUGAGACCCACUAGGAAGCUGAACUAAAGAGAAGAAUAAAUCCUGCGGUUCAAUUUCAGACUAUUCUUGAGGCGAACCGUGGAGCGUCGGCUCUUCUGUCAUUCAUGGGAUCAGGUGACUCCGAGAGUUGGUCCAUUCCCUGCUCUCACUAAUGAACCUUUGCACUGGUUAUGAAAGCAAGGAAACCUCAUUAGAGACCAGAGUCAUCGAGAAAAAUCACUGCUGGAUUUCUUCUAAGAUCAUCGGAGGUGCUUCAGAUGUCUCGCUGCUCCAUUGAUGCUGCAUUCGGGCAGUAUUCUCCUCCAUCAUCUUCUCCUUGAGUGAAUCUUCCUAAGAAGUUUCAGUGCUGCCAGAGAUGGUGAAUGGCCCCCAAACAGCUGUGCUGCUGGCUGCUUGUCACAGAAAUAACCCCUUACAAAGUAACUGAAAUUACAGGGCACUCCAGUGUCUAAAUAUAACCCCAGGCAGA